UGGGUUUGGAGGGAGAGG
rnacentral:miRNA from 1 species